UCCGGUUUAACACCGGCGGUCUCGCUAGAGUCCCCGCCAUUACGCGCUGGCAACUAGCGAUAGGGGUUGCGCUCGUUAAGGGACUUAACCCGACACUUCACAGCACGAGCUGACGACAGCCAUGCAGCACCUGUGCACGUUCCACCCGAAGGUGUGGCCCGCCUUUCGGCGGGUUAAUCCGUGCAUGUCAAACCCAGGAUAAGGUUCUUCGCGUUGCUUCGAAUUAAGCCACAUGCUCCACCGCUUGUGUGAGCCCCCGUCAAUUCCUUUGAGUUUUAGCCUUGCGACCGUACUCCCCAGGCGGUGCACUUAACACUUUUGCUUCGACCGAGAGUGGUGUCAGAACCCCCUCGAUCUAGUGCACAUCGUUUACGGCGUGGACUAC
rnacentral:misc_RNA from 1 species